GAUCGGAAUAGUCUCGCCGUCAAUCCCGUCGAAGUCCCGUUGUCGUUCGCCGUUGCACGCGCCCACACGCGCCGCUUGUCUCCUCGGCAUCUCCAUCGUCGAUCUCCUGUUCCGGCGAACGUGAAACGACACCACCCUCUCAAUCGGACUCAGACGAUACCGGCGAUUCCAUCCGUGGAAACUCCGCGGUCAUCCGACGCCGGAAUAGCUCGCACGCGCUGGCCGUUGUUCGUGCUCCGACUGUGAUCUCCGAUCUGCUUCUCCGGAGAGCAUGCUGCCUCACCGUCGGCACUGUCAGUUACAGAAAGCUCCGGUGAUCCUCCUCCGGCCAUCCACGCGCCGUUCUGUCACCAUUCGCUUCUGUUAUCGCCGAAAAUCAAUUUCUGUAGAUCUUUCUCUUCUCUUCAGACUGUGCUGAUUACGAAGAAUAUCUCAAGUAUCAGACAUCGAAACAGUCCUCAUCCAACAUUGCUUCUAGUGCAUAUCCAGGUUACCCAGCCAUAUGCUUUACUCAGUCCUCUUCUUAUGGAUCAUGGGUUCUCAAUUCUGAUGCUUCUGACCACAUCUCUGGACUGUAGUACGAGACGGACGAUUGGUACAGGACGUGAGUCACAGGGUCUCUAUUUGUAACAAGCUUGGUGCAUAUGAUUUAUAUGCUCCAGCUUGAGGGAGAGUGUUGAGAUAUGUUGAGAUAUUGUAUAGAUAGUGAAUCAUAAAUACUCAUAUAGAAUAGGAAUGUUAUAAUAUCCUUCCUAAACUUAGAUAGGAGUAGUUAAUAGUCUUCCUAAAUUAGCUAUCCUAAUAUCUUAUAUAAUUGUAAUUCUAUUGAACAUGAAAAAUAACAGAAAAUUAUAUUCUUUCA